AUGAACGCUAGCGACAGGCCUAACACAUGCAAGUCGAGGGGCAGCACAAGGAGCAAUCUGAGGUGGCGACCGGCGCACGGGUGAGUAACACGUAUGCAACCUGCCUGUAAGCGGGGAAUAACCCGUUGAAAGACGGACUAAUACCGCAUAAUACUAAAUUACUGCAUGGUAAUUUAUUUUAAACAUUUUAUGGCUUACAGAUGGGCAUGCGCAUGAUCAGCUAGUUGGAGAGGUAACGGCUCCCCAAGGCAACGAUCAUUAGGGGUUCUGAGAGGAAGGUCCCCCCACACUGGUACUGAGACACGGACCAGACUCCUACGGGAGGCAGCAGUGAGGAAUAUUGGUCAAUGGACGAGAGUCUGAACCAGCCAAGUCGCGUGCAGGAAGAAUGUCCUAUGGAUUGUAAACUGCUUUUGCAGGGGAAUAAAGUGCAUCACGUGUGAUGUUUUGUAUGUACUCUGCGAAUAAGGAUCGGCUAACUCCGUGCCAGCAGCCGC
rnacentral:rRNA from 1 species